UUGCUGUGGUCAUCCUUGAUGCUAGAUCUAGAUUCUUAUACAACCUGUAAGGUCAUGCAACGCCAAAGCGGCUGUAUGAGUAUAACAACACUUUAUAACAACGCAAAGAAAUAGGAAGUUUGCGAAAUGUUUGAUUACCGGUGUCAGUCAAAGUCGGUAUAUAAACAUUUGUAUACGAACUCUGGUGACAUGUGGGUUUUAUAUAGGAACAGAUUGGGCCAUGACCGUUUUUAUCUUUGUCUGUUGACAUAUCUGUUGGUUUACUCAAGUGACGCAUUUAUUUUAGGGUGUGUAAAAUCCCCUACUCGAUCUAUCAAUUACCAAAUAAGCAUACUUUGGUUACGGAAAGAUACAGCAGAGGGUAAAAUAAAGCAUCGGUAAAUAAACCAGAAACCGUAUAUGUUUAUAUAUGUUUGAAUAUAGAGUCUGAAACAAACUAAAUAUUGUUAGAAACGAGAAACACUCAGACGACCGUAUUCUUUCUGUUGUCACUUGUGUGUCGCAUUGUUGAUAGCGAAGAAAAAGACUUUUAAGCCACUUUUAUCUCCUUGUCGAACAUAAUACUCUGGCUCCCGACUCUAUUUAACGUCAACAGACCGUUGAACAAGUCCACCAAGCGUCAUGGUCCAACAAAUAUUAACAUUGCUUUUUCCGCCCACACGUUUCGAUAUUCCAUUUACAUACAGUGUCAGUUUACGAAGAGAUUGAAUGGACGUAAUACAUCAUUCUCUGUUAGAUACUGCCGUGAAAAACAACUAAUUAGUGUGAAGCUGAUUAUUUUAGAAAUUUAGUAAUUUAUGUUAAUUUAUUUGUGGCCACACCAGCAUGGCUGGCAUUUCAGAUAUCGAAAAUAAUCACCUCAUAUGUACUGAUGAUAAAAUUACUACGGAACCGAAAAUUAAAAUUGCAUCAAAUAUCUUUGAAGUACAGAAGUGUAAAAAUACCAAUGCUUCCGACGGUAAUAGCAAGGUGCUGGUUAACUUGUGCGAUGCUACAGAUAGUAAAGUUGUUUCACUGACUACAAAAGUGCAAAAUGUGAUGCAAAGACUGGAUAAGCUUGAAGACAACCAGAAACACUUUCAACAAAAUGUCAUGGAAAAGUUUAAAGAUGUCACCAGCACAUUAAAGAAAAUAUCCCAGAAGCUAGACGCUCAAAAUCCUCAACAGUUGAAAAAAGCAAUCAUAGAAGUGAUGGCGGACCAAAGUACUCAAACGUCACUAAAUCUAGAUACUGCAUGCUGCCAAUCCGUGGUCGUUGUCCACGAUAAGACUGCUGAUGCCGGAGUCGGAACUGGUUUUGUAAUCGAUCCAAACGACAAAGUUUUGGAGACCAUGUUAGACUUUCCACCCGAUAUGAUUUGCAUCAUGACGGCUAACCAUGUGUUAUAGGGGGUUGCGCAGGCGCAGAUUAAAUGGACGAUAAGUUCCUCCAAAUUCAAUGCAGAUAAAGUGAUCGGGUGUACAGACCUUGAUAUUGCUACAAUUUGGAUAAAAACUCCAUCCAAAGGGGGUACUGACUGUUGUCCGUUACCGUUUUGCGCAAGCAUAAAGAGGGGUGAAACAGUUUACUUUGUUGGCACCAGCGCAGAUGAUCUGCCGAACAGAGUAGUGACGGGAAAUAUGAGUUGGACGGAGAGAAUUGUCAAAGGAAAAUCAUUGACUGAAUGCUCUGGCGUACUUGAACCCGGAUACUCUGGAUCUCCAGCUUUGAGCGGUGAAGGCGAAGUGGUGGGUAUUGUAACCACAGGAACAUACGACAAGAACACCGUAUACCUGAUACCACGUUCUUCUAUAAUAAAGUAUUUUCAAAAUAAGAAGCAAGACAUAGAAACAUACUUGAAAACACAGAAAUGCAAGAAAACUAAUUUGUAAUAAUAUGUGAACUUGGAAAAAGUCCAAAUUGGUGUUCCACAGAUAACUAAAAGAGCAGUAGAUAUAUUAUAGGCUAACUGUGUACUAACUGACAUUUCGGCUACAUAUAGUUCUGUGGGGUAAGAUGGGACACCUUUAGCACUUUGUAUUUAAAUAUACCUUAAUCCUGUUUUAAACAAAACUAAAUUCUCUAAAUGUUCUUUUUAGAUUACUACUAAAUGGGACGAUAAAAUAAAGUAGAAAGAUGUCCCAUCAACCCCACCCUACUAUAUCGUCAAAAUAUUAAUGCAAAUAGCUACAUUUAAAACAGUUUACCUUACUACUUUACAAUUCGCCACCGUGUUUAAUUUGUUAUGGGCUGUUGGUUUGGCUCGCAACAAAAUUGAAUUGUUAAUUUUGCUUCUUUACUGACUUUAAAACCAGAAGUUUGAAGUAGGUCUUCUUUUAUCUUGUUUCUUUUUAUAGUUUUGUGUUUCCAUUUUCACUAGCCACAACUUUUAAUGCAGAUUUGUAAAUAAUCUUGUUUAAUAAAUCUAAUCUUAAAUU